GAGGAUAUAGCUCAAAUGGUACAGCGCAUGCUUAGCAUGCAUGAGGUCCUGGGCUCAAUCCUCAGUACCUCCU
rnacentral:tRNA from 1 species